rnacentral:rRNA from 1 species
AGCAGCCGCGGUAAUUCCAGCUCCAAUAGCGUAUAUUAAAGUUGUUGCAGUUAAAAAGCUCGUAGUUGAAUUUCGGGAUUGGCGCAUCGGUCGUGCCUCACGGGGUAUGAACUGGUGCAGUCAAUUUCUCACCUUCUGGAGAACCGCGAUGUCCUUAAUUGGAUGCCGCGGGGAACCAGGACCUUUACUUUGAAAAAUUAGAGUGUUUAAAGCAGGCAUUUUUGCUUGAAUACAUUAGCAUGGAAUAAUAAAAUAGGACGGCAUGGUUCUAUUUUGUUGGUUUCUAGGACCACCGUAAUGAUUAAUAGGGAUAGUUGGGGGCAUUAGUAUUCAAUUGUCAGAGGUGAAAUUCUUGGAUUUAUUGAAGACUAACUACUGCGAAAGCAUUUGCCAAGGAUGUUUUCAUUAAUCAAGAACGAAAGUUAGGGGAUCGAAGACGAUCAGAUACCGUCGUAGUCUUAACCAUAAACUAUGCGACUAGGAAUCA